rnacentral:rRNA from 1 species
GAUGGCGGCCAUAGGCGCCGGGGUUCACCGGAUCCCGUUCCGAUCUCCGAAGUUAAGGCCGGCGACCGUUGUGGGAAAUGUGCGGUGCGCGAGCCCGUGACAGGCCCACAAGCUGCCACUU